rnacentral:rRNA from 1 species
GACGAACGCUGGCGGCGUGCUUAACACAUGCAAGUCGAACGGAAAGGCCCUGCUUUUGUGGGGUGCUCGAGUGGCGAACGGGUGAGUAACACGUAAGUAACCUGCCCUUGACUUUGGGAUAACUUCAGGAAACUGGGGCUAAUACCGGAUAGGAGCUCCUGCUGCAUGGUGGGGGUUGGAAAGUUUCGGCGGUUGGGGAUGGACUCGCGGCUUAUCAGCUUGUUGGUGGGGUAGUGGCUUACCAAGGCUUUGACGGGUAGCCGGCCUGAGAGGGUGACCGGCCACAUUGGGACUGAGAUACGGCCCAGACUCCUACGGGAGGCAGCAGUGGGGAAUAUUGCACAAUGGGCGGAAGCCUGGUGCAGCAACGCCGCGUGCGGGAUGACGGCCUUCGGGUUGUAAACCGCUUUCGCCUGUGACGAAGCGUGAGUGACGGUAAUGGGUAAAGAAGCACCGGCUAACUACGUG